rnacentral:tRNA from 1 species
UGACAGAUAGCUCAGUUGGUAGAGUGCAGCACUUAUAAUGCUGAAGUCGGCGGUUCAAGUCCGUCUCUGUCAA